CUCUUUCUCUACAUCCAAGAACACAAGAUAAAUUGAGAUCUUGAAUUUGCUUGGGGCGCUGGCUGCAAAAGCCUGCUUUCUGAAUAGUCCAGUGAAGAAUACCGAAUCAACCUCAUUUCCCAAUGAGAAACCAUCUCACAGAAAAGUGAAGCCCAUUAGCUGAGGUCCAUGGUUAAAGAGUGAAUGAGUUACUACUGUCAACAGUCUGGUCUUUGCUGAUGUCUGCACUUCCCUUCUCACAUACUGUGCAACCCAGAAGGAAUACACUCUGAAGACUGUCU
rnacentral:lncRNA from 1 species